UACGUAGGGUGCGAGCGUUGUCCGGAAUUACUGGGCGUAAAGAGUUCGUAGGCGGUUUGUCGCGUCGUUCGUGAAAACUUGGGGCUUAACUCCAAGCGUGCGGGCGAUACGGGCAGACUUGAGUACUACAGGGGAGACUGGAAUUCCUGGUGUAGCGGUGAAAUGCGCAGAUAUCGGGAGGAACACCAGUGGCGAAGGCGGCCACCUCGGACGGAGUACUGACGCUGAGACGCGAAAAGCGUGGGGGAGCAAACAGGGAUUAAGAAACCCU
rnacentral:rRNA from 1 species